AGAAAAUCCAAGUAUUUCUUGAAAAAUCAUUCACUGUAGUUGAAAAGAAUCGAUAACCAUAUAUGGAUGUAAUCAAGCACCCUAAAUAUCCACAUGAACUAAUUGAAAUGAAACAAAAGCAUGAGAAACACUAUGUGUGAAAGAUAAUUUUGUUUGCUUUGCUUUGCAUAGUGACAAAUGUCAUAAACAUGUAUAUCAACAUUACAAGGAAUAGAAGAGUAAAGCCUAUUUAAAGCUAAAAUUCUUUAAUGAGAAGGGUGACCAAAUUUGUAAUGCCAUAGGCUAGCAAGAGGAAAAGAAGGAACAAUGCUAAUGAUAGAAGCAAUUGAAGUGAUGAAAUUGGGUGAUGGAUUGACCAAGAAAUACAAUCCUUCAUUUCAGCUAAACUAAUCAUCCUCCAAGUACUUAACUCCUGAAUGAAAUAAGAAUUAUGAUGAAAUAGUAAGCUACAGCUCAAGGAAGAAAUGAGUUUAGUUACUGAAAUUAGAUUGAAAGUAGAGGAUAAAAUAUAGAGAACAUCUAACAGGUAAAAAUAAGGUGUAAGAUGUAUAGUUCUAGAAAUGGUUGCCACAACAUGAGUACCAUUAGGUAACUUGAUUGAAAAAGGUUUAACUUAUUUAUAAGUUGUAAAGACUGAUAGAGUAAAGCAUAUAUGGUCAGUAGCCCAAGCAUCAAGUAUCCAUAUAUGUGAAUUGACAUUGGUAAAGAGAGAAAUAAGGUUACCUAUAGGAAUGUUAGAAGUGGCAGUAAGUGUAAGAGAAAUGUUACCAUUGUGCUGUGUGGCAAGAUGAUUAACCCAAUGAGAUUGAGAUGAUGGAGAAAGAUGCUGUCAAAGAAUGAUCUUGAAUUAAAGUCAAUAGCUUCUGGUACUUUUUUGAGAUUAUAGAUCUCUUCCUGUAGAUCAAAGAUUCAAAUGAUAUCUUCUUGUGAAAACCUAUCUUUCAAAUCACUCCAUGCAUCCACUAUCUUAUCAAUCCAAAGUACACUCUGUGCAAUAGAGGGAGAAAGAGACCUUGUAAUCUAAGAAAUAACCAUUGUAUUGCACCUCUUCCAUGUAAAAGAUAUCGGAUCUAUCCUUAUAUGCGUAGGAAGAGAUCUAUCGAUAAAUUGCAG
rnacentral:misc_RNA from 1 species